rnacentral:rRNA from 1 species
CGGACCUGACUGCUAUCGGAUUGGUACUAAGCCAUGUGAGUCAUUGUAGCAAUACAAGGCAGACGGCUCAGUAACACGUAGUCAAUCUACCCUAUGGACGGGGAUAACCUCGGGAAACAGAGGAUAAAACCCGAUAGAUCAUAGUGCCUGGAAUGGCUUAUGGUCCAAAUGAUUCGUCGCCGUAGGAUGGGACUGCGGCCUAUCAGCUUGUUGGUGAGGUAAUGGCCCACCAAGGCUAUUACAGGUACGGGCUCUGAGAGGAGAAGCCCGGAGAUGGGUACUGAGACACGGACCAGGCCCUAUGGGGCGCAGCAGGCGAGAAACCUUUGCAAUGUGCGCAAGCACGACAAGGUUAAUCCGAGUGUUUCCUGCUAAAGGAAUCUUUUGUUAGUUCUAAAACCACUGAUGAAUAAGGGGUGGGCAAGUUCUGGUGUCGGCCGCCGCGGUAAAACCAGCACCUCAAGUGGUCAGGAGGAUUAUUGGGCCUAAAGCAUCCGUAGCCUGUUCUGUAAGUUUCCGGUUAAAUCCAUUAGCUCAACUAAUGGGCCGCCGAAAAUACUGCAAAACUAGGGAGUGGGAGAGGUAGACGGUACUCGGUAGGAAGGGGUAAAAUCCUUUGAUCUAUUGAUGACCACCUGUGGCGAAGGCGGUCUACCAGAACACGUUCGACGGUGAGGGAUGAAAGCUGGGGGAGCAAACCGGAUUAGAUACCCGGGUAGUCCCAGCUGUAAACGAUGCAGACUCGGUGAUGCGCUGGCUUGUGGCCAGUGCAGUGCCGCAGGGAAGCCGUUAAGUUUGCCGCCUGGGAAGUACGUACGCAAGUAUGAAACUUAAAGGAAUUGGCGGGGGAGCACCACAAGGGGUGGAGCCUGCGGUUCAAUUGGAGUCAACGCCAGAAAUCUUACCCGAAGAGACAGCAGAAUGAAGGUCAAGCUGGAGACUUUACCAGACAAGCUGAGAAGUGGUGCAUGGCCGUCGCCAGCUCGUGCCGUGAGAUGUCCUGUUAAGUCAGGUAACGAGCGAGAUCCCUGCCUCUAGUUGCCACCAUUACUCUCAGGAGUAGUGGGGCGAAUUAGCGGGACCGCCGUAGUUAAUACGGAGGAAGGAAGGGGCCACGGCAGGUCAGUAUGCCCCGAAACUCUGGGGCCACACGCGGGCUGCAAUGGUAACG